rnacentral:rRNA from 1 species
CAGCCGCCGCGGUAAUACGUAGGUGGCAAGCGUUGUCCGGAAUUAUUGGGCGUAAAGGGCUCGCAGGCGGUUUCUUAAGUCUGAUGUGAAAGCCCCCGGCUCAACCGGGGAGGGUCAUUGGAAACUGGGAAACUUGAGUGCAGAAGAGGAGAGUGGAAUUCCACGUGUAGCUGUGAAAUGCGUAGAGAUGUGGAGGAACACCAGUGGCGAAGGCGACUCUCUGGUCUGUAACUGACGCUGAGGAGCGAAAGCGUGGGGAGCGAACAGGAUUAGAUACCCGGGUAGUCCCUGUCUCUUAUAC